rnacentral:rRNA from 1 species
AGCUCCAAGAGUGUAUAUUAAAGUUGUUGCGGUUAAAAAGCUCGUAGUUGGAUUUCGAGGGUUGUGCGUUCAAGUCUUUGGCCUAGCCAAACGUACUAAACGUGCAAUCAUCUGAAUGAAAUGUUUAAUUGUUUUCGGUCGCUUAGGCUUCUGUUAACAUUUAUUUCAAUUUUACUUUGAAGAAAUUAGGGUGUUCAAAGCAGGCAUAACCUAGCCUUGAAUAUAACAGCAUGGGAUAAUGAAAUAUGACUUUUGUCUUGAUUUCGUUGGUUUCUAAGGCUCAAGUAAUGAUUAAUAGGGAUAGUUGGGGCCACUUGUAUUGUAUUGUCAGAGGUGAAAUUCUAGGAUCAAUUCAAGACAAACUACUGCGAAAGCAUUUGGCAAGGAUGUUUUCAUUAAU